GGCCUUGUGGCUCAUUUGGCUCGAGCGUUGGUUGUACUUAAGCCUUCCCCUUGAUGGCGUGGGUUCGAAUCCCACCGACGCCG
rnacentral:tRNA from 1 species